rnacentral:rRNA from 1 species
UACGUAGGGUGCAAGCGUUGUCCGGAAUUAUUGGGCGUAAAGAGCUCGUAGGCGGCCAGUUGCGUCUGCUGUGAAAUCCCGGGGCUCAACCCCGGGCGUGCAGUGGAUACGGGCUGGCUAGAGGCAGGCAGGGGAGAACGGAAUUCCCGGUGUAGCGGUGAAAUGCGCAGAUAUCAGGAGGAACACCAAUGGCGAAGGCAGCUCGCUGGGACGGUACUGACGCUGAGACGCGAAAGCGUGGGGAGCAAACAGG